rnacentral:rRNA from 1 species
GCUAAAAAGUCGUCUCAGUUCGGAUCGGAGUCUGCAACUCGACUCCGUGAAGUUGGAAUUGCUAGUAAUCGGGGGUCAGCACACCCCGGUGAAUACGUUCCCGGGCCUUGUACACACCGCCCGUCAAGCCAUGAAAGCCAGGAGUACCCGAAGCCGCCUUAUAAGCGUCUAAGGUAAGACUGGUGAUUGGGGCUAAGUCGUAACAAGGUAGCCGUACCGGAAGGUGCGGCUGGAUCACCUCCUUU